rnacentral:tRNA from 1 species
GGUGGCUCAGUGGUAGAGAGCUUGCCUUGCAUGCAGGAGGCCCUGGGUUCGAUUCCUCAGCACCA